GCCUCAUUAGCUCAGGGGUAGAGCAGUAGUCUCGUAAACUAAAGGUCGCUAGUUCGAAUCUCCCAUGAGACU
rnacentral:tRNA from 1 species